AGAUUAAGGACGAAAAUUUUGAAGCCUAUGACAUUGUGGUCCUUAAAUGAUAAUAAUGAAAAAAAAUUAAAAUAGUCUCGUUAAUUGUGAAAAAGCCCGAAGUAAAUAGGAAAACAAUUUUUGUUCGUUUCUUUUAUCUUUAUCCUCUAUAUCAAAUGCACUUUGUUUCUUUUCAAGUAAUCCUUCUGUAACUAGGGUUUCAGGAACCGUAUUUACAAAUUAAAACCAAACAGCGUCAUUCAAUUCAAUUAGUUAGGUUUGAUUUAGCUCGAAAUUUAAACAAGUUGCGAUCCAGACUGAAUCGGCAACAGCGACGACCAGCGAUCCAGACUGAAUCGGCGGCGGCGACGACCAGCGAUCCAGACUGAAUCGGCGGCGGCGACGACCAGCGAUCCAGACUGAAUCGGCGGCAGCGACGACCAGCGAGCUGCGAUCUACACUGAAUCGCCGGCAGCGAGGAUGUCUUGUAUAUCAUCAACUUGAUUGAUCAUCAAUUUUAGUUUCAGAUAACAAAAAAAGAUGACUACAGCUAUUGCAAUUGAAGAUGUGAGAAGGGAGGUUAAGAUACUAAGAGCAUUCACUAGACACAACAAUUUGGUACAACUUUAUGAUGCAUAUGACGAUCAUGAUAAUCUGUACAUAGUUAUGGUGUUAUGUGAAGGAUGAGAACUUUUGGAUAGAAUACUUGCAAGAGAUAAAUCCCAUGGGACAAGUACCGGCUAUUGUUCAUGGAGAUUUUAAGCUAUUUGAGAGUCAUGCAAUUUAUAUCUACCUCGCCUCUGUAUUUGGAGUUGCAGAUCACUGGUAUCCAACUUACUGUAAUUAAAGGAAAAUGAUGGUAAGGAUUAGAUUAUCUCGAUUCGGAUGCAAAAACAAGCCGUUUUAUAGAGUAAUGGCAGCUGAUAACAGAUCUCCCAGAGAUGGCAAACACCUGGAGGUUCUUGGUUAUUAUAAUCCCUUGCCAUGUGAAAUUAAUCUUCAAGCUUUUAAUUUUUUAGAAAUGGAUACAAUCUGUUUUUUGUUAUUGUACCCUAAUUAAUUUCUUAAUCAAAUUAUUCGGGUCAAGAUGGAGGCAAAAGAAUGGGCAUUAAUUUCGACAGAGUCAAGUAAGAAAUUUAUAAUGAGCUCCAAAACAGUGGAAGUGAUGCUUUUUCCACGGUUAUAGGUGAGAGGCCUCCCGGUCGUGCACUUUUUUUUAUGGAAGAGGGGUUACAAGAAGCAAUUUGAAGAACAUAGAAGGAAGCAGUUCUUCAAUAAUUUUGAUGGAAUAUUUUCCGUUUUCUAAUGUUAGUGAAUAUUUUUUAUUUGUGAUGUAAUGGAUGAAAUAUUUUUGUGAUGUAAAUGAUGAAUGGAGUAUUUUCGUGAUGUAAUGGGUGGAAUAUUUUCCGAUUUUGAAUUUAAUAAAUAUUUUCCGUUUUCUAA